GCUGGGCAUGGUGAUGCAUGCCUGUAGUCUCAGCUACUCCAGAGGCUGAGUGGGGAGGAUUGCUUGAACACAUGAGGUUAAGGCUGCAGUGAGCUAUAAUUGCACCACUGCACUCUAGCCUGGGUGACAGAGCAAGACCCUGUCUCUU
rfam:Pan troglodytes isolate Yerkes chimp pedigree #C0471 (Clint) chromosome 7, whole genome shotgun sequence.